CUAUAUUGAGCACCCGCCUCGUGGGCUUAGGCUAGAACUGGCGUUAUCUCAAGAAACCGACGAUUCUUCUUCCGAUUCCAGCAAUCACCAGCUGGUUCUGAAACUCUAUGACGCCUUGAGCACCCGUGACGUGGCCACCGUGCACGCCGUCCUCGCCGCCGACCUCGAGUGGUGGUUCCAUGGUCCGCCGACCCACCAGUUCUUGAAGCGCCUGCUGACCGGCUGCGACAACAAGAACGACGCGUCGUUUCAGUUCCAUCCCCAGUCUGUUUGCUCCGUCGGCCCCGUCGUCCUAGUGGAGGGCUGUGACCCAGAGCAGGAGAUCUCCUGGGUACACGCCUGGACCGUCACGGAUGGGAUAAUCACCCAGGUCAGGGAGUACUUCAACACUUCCCUCACCGUCACCCGCCUCGGGAACUCCACCAGCUCCGCCAAACCCACCCCAUCCAAGUUCUCCAAAUCGACGUCCGAGAUUACAUCGUACCACUGCCCCUCCGUCUGGGAGAGCUCCAACCGGGUCGGGAAGUCGGUUCCGGGUCUGGUCCUCGCAAUCUAAGUCAGUUCGUGUGGCGCGUGGUUUUUACUUUUUAAUAGGGGGUUAUUAUUAUCCAAAUAAAGAGGGGGAUAACGUGUCGUGCUCUGGGUGGCUCCUGCAGAUGAGCUGAAGCUACUGGGGUCACGGAGAUGUAAGACCCGUUAAGGAUUUGUUUGUUUGGUUUCGGGUUGUUGUCGUUUAGUUUGGUUUUGUUGUUUGUUUGUGUGUGUGCUGGUGUCGGGUGGAACUAUGGGGUCGAGGGCCUUUUGGUCAUAUCCUGACGCGUCUAUGUUAAGGUAUUCUUAUCGAGCAAUAAAAGCGUGUGUUUUCG
rnacentral:lncRNA from 1 species